rnacentral:tRNA from 1 species
GUUUUAAUAAUUUAAUAAAAAUAUUAGUCUUGUAAACUAAAAAUAAGAUUUCACUUUUAAAACA